UGUUUCCUCCGUAGUAGAAAGCACAUUUUAAUUUUACGACGGUAACCAAACGCGACCUUAGUUGUACAACACAAAGGAAGGGCACGUUCUACUAUUCCUUUCCGGUUUCGGUGAAGCCUCUGCUCCAUACUCCGACUACGAAGCUUUUUCCGAUAUCAGGAAAUGGGUUUGUGGACAUUAUUGGAGGGAUGUCUACUUCUUGCAAAUGCAUUGGCAAUAUUAAAUGAGGACCGCUUCCUGGCACAUAGAGGGUUGAGCUUCUCAGAAUUCUCAGGGGGCAAGACAAAAUCAUUCAAGGGGCAACUGAUAGGUCUCAUUUAUGCAACCCAGUACUUAAGAGUUCCUCUCAUACUGCUAAACUUCAUCUGCAUCGUUGUAAAGUUGGUAUCUGGAUGACACCCCACAAGGAAGAUUCUUUAACCAAGAGAGAAGCAGCUCCUUUGGAGUCUUUUAUAGAUUUCAUAAAGUUUUGUGAUGGAUGGGACUCUACAAAAAAGACAUUUUUCUUCUGGAAUGCUGAAAAUUUUAUCUUCUUCGUUCUUUUCUUUUUUUUAG